rnacentral:rRNA from 1 species
GACGAACGCUGGCGGCGUGCUUAACACAUGCAAGUCGAACGGAGUGGCGAACGGGUGAGUAACACGUGGGUGAUCUGCCUUGCACUUCGGGAUAAGCUUGGGAAACUGGGUCUAAUACCGGAUAGUGCAAGAUGAGCUCGCGGCCUAGCAGAUUGUUGGUGGGGUAAUGGCCUACCAAGGCGUCGACGGGUAGACGGCCUGAGAGGGGGUACGGGCACAUUGGGACUGAGAUACGGCACAGACUGCUACGGGAGGCAGCAGUGGGGAAUAUUACACAAGGGGCGGAAGCCUGAUGCAGCGACGCUGGGUGGGGGAUGUAGGCCUUCGGGUUGUAAACGCCUUUCGACAGGGACGCGGUACCUGUAGAAGAAGCACCGGCUAACUACGUGCCAGCAGCCGCGGUAAUUC